UCCUACGGGGGGCAGCAGUGGGGAAUAUUGGGCAAUGGGCGCAAGCCUGACCCAGCAACGCCGCGUGAAGGAAGAAGGCCCUCGGGUUGUAAACUUCUUUUCUAUAGGACGAAGAAGUGACGGUACUAUAGGAAUAAGCCACGGCUAACUACGUGCCAGCAGCCGCGGUAAUACGUAGGUGGCGAGCGUUAUCCGGAUUUACUGGGUGUAAAGGGCGUGUAGGCGGGAGAGCAAGUCAGAUGUGAAAACUACAGGCUUAACCUGUAGCCUGCAUUUGAAACUGUUCUUCUUGAGUGAUGGAGAGG
rnacentral:rRNA from 1 species